rnacentral:precursor_RNA from 1 species
AGUCGUCCACCUCCUCGCUCCCAGCCCAGCUAGCUAGCUGCUGCAUAUGCCUUCUAGCUAGCUAGCUUUCAUCCCCGGCCCCCUUUCGAUCCAUCCAUCCUGUGUUCCAAGUUCAUCAUUCACUCGUCACUAAUAGCUUUCUAUCUGAUCGAUUCAUCAUCAUCCGGGCAUGCAUGAGCAUCAUCGUCUCCAGAUCGUUGGGCUCUCGCAGCUACCUACAUUCAACAUUCAAGCUCGCUCUACAUAUGCAUGCAAAUCUGCAACACUCGCUCUUGGCAGGGAUACAUUCACGCCGAGAGAGAGAGAGAGAGAGAGAGAGAGAGAGAGAGAGAGAGAGAUGUGUGUGCUGUAGUCAUCAGCCAGCCGGUGAUUUCUGGAGUGGCAUCAUCAAGAUUCACACACUGCAUGCCAACAUAAUGCGCGUGUUCAUGCAUCCAUCGCCGCCGCUGCAUCAUGCAUCAUAUAUAAUAUAUAUAUAUGUGUAUGUGUGGGAAUCUUGAUGAUGCUGCAUUGGAUAUCAAGGGCUAUAUAUAUAUAUGGAUCAAGCAUAUAUAUAUAUAUAUCAGAUCACCAGUCAUAUCGAGUUCUUCCUUCC